rnacentral:rRNA from 1 species
GGCGGACGGGUGAGUAACGCGUGAGGAACCUGCCUUGAAGAGGGGGACAACAGUUGGAAACGACUGCUAAUACCGCAUGAAGCAUAGGGGUCGCAUGAUCUUUAUGCCAAAGAUUUAUCGCUUCAAGAUGGCCUCGCGUCUGAUUAGCUAGUUGGCGGGGUAACGGCCCACCAAGGCGACGAUCAGUAGCCGGACUGAGAGGUUGAACGGCCACAUUGGGACUGAGAUACGGCCCAGACUCCUACGGGAGGCAGCAGUGGGGAAUAUUGGGCAAUGGGCGCAAGCCUGACCCAGCAACGCCGCGUGAAGGAAGAAGGCUUUCGGGUUGUAAACUUCUUUUAAGAGGGAAGAGCAGAAGACGGUACCUCUAGAAUAAGCCACGGCUAACUACGUGCCAGCAGCCGCGGUAAUACGUAGGUGGCAAGCGUUGUCCGGAUUUACUGGGUGUAAAGGGCGUGCAGCCGGGUCUGCAAGUCAGAUGUGAAAU